GUCCUAUUGAAAAUAAUUUUAGGUCAGACCUGCCCAAUGAUUAUUUAAUUUAAUGGCCGCAGUAUUCUGACUGUGCAAAGGUAGCAUAAUCAUUAGUUUUUUAAUUGAAAGCUUGUAUGAAAGGUUUGAUGAAAAAAUAACUGUCUCAUUUUAAAUUUAUUGAAAAUUUAUUUUUAAGUAAGAAAGCUUAAAUAAAAAUAGAAGACGAGAAGACCCUGUAGAGUUUUAUAUUUUUUUAAAUAGAUAUGGUUUAGAAUUGAUUAUUUUAUUUAAUAAAGUAUUUGGUUGGGGUGAUUGAAAAAUUAGAUAAACUUUUUUUGGUUAUUAGACAUUGAUUUAUGAAUUAUUGAUCCUUAAGUAAAGAUUAAAAGAUAAAAUUACCUCAGGGAUAACAGCGUAAUUUUUUUUUAGAGUUCACAUUAAAAGAAAAGAUUGCGACCUCGAUGUUGGAUUAAAAUGAAAUAUUGGUGUAGAAGCUAAUAGAUUGGGUCUGUUCGACCUUUAAAAUUUUACAUGAUCUGAGUUUAAACCGGCGUAAG
rnacentral:rRNA from 1 species